UUUUUGUGAAACUUGAGUUUAUGGUGUUUUUGAACUUGAGUUUGUGGUUUCUUUGAACUUGAUUCUGUGUUGUUUUUGAACUUGAGGUUGUGGAAAUUGUUAAACUUGAGAAAUGGGUAUUGGUUGAACUUGAGUUUUUGCUGUUUUGAACUUGAGUUUGUGUCUUUUUUGAACUUGCGUUUCUGUUGUUUUUGAACUAGAGGUUGUGGAAAUUGUUAAACUUGAGAAUCAGGUGUUGGUUGAAUUUGAGCUUGUGUGUCUGUUGAAUUUGAGUUCGUGCCGUGUUUCAACUUGAGUUUGUGGUGUUUUUGAACUUGAGUUUUUUUGUUUGUUGAACUUGAGUUAUUGUUGUGUUUGAACAUGAGUUUGUGGUGUUUUCGAACUUGAGUUGGUUUCGUGUUUGAACUAGAGUUUGUGGCAUUUUUUGAACUUGAGUAUGUGUCGUGUUUGAACUUGAGUUGGUCGUGUUUUUGAACUUGAGUUUGUGUGUUUGUUGAACUUGAGGGUGUGGCAAUUGUCCAACUUGAGUUUGUGGUGUUUUUGAACUUCAGUUUUUGUGUUUGUUGAAUUUGAUUUUUUGGGUUUUUUUGACUUG